UUCAUAAGCCACGGAAUCUCUAGUGUUUGGUUAUAAAUUGUCUUUAUAUUAGAAUUCUUAUUUACUGAAAUCAUAUUUAAAUGAAAGGACGUUCAAAACUGUAUUGCCCCACCAUCAUAAUGCGUUUGGCAAUUUAACUUACAUGAAAGUUGUACUCAUAGACAGAUGAUAAUCAGGUAGUGUAUCAAUCCUACAAUAAUUUCAAAUCGCAACUUUAUUUAUAUGAUGUUUAAAACCAUAAAAUAAUUUCUGGAAAGUAAGAGCAAUCAUAGAAAAUAACUGUAAAAUGAUUUGAAAAAAAGAUGAAGUUACUUUACGGUAAGCAAAACACUGUGAUGCAUAAAUUAGAAUUUGAAUUUACACUUUUAAUCCGUUUAUGAUUAGGAUGAAAGGCAGAGAAAAACUGUAUUAGGAAAAACAAUUUUAAAUCGUCAAAUCUAAUUAGAAAAUCUGUGGGAUAAAAAUCGUGAGUUUUUUCUAGCGCGAGGGUAACGAUUACGAAUAGAAAAAAAUCUGUAUUUAUCUUCAAACAGAUUCCUUUCUGUAAAAAAAAAAUUUUUUUUCUGGACUAUUCUAGACUAUAGAGAGAAUAACUAUUUACUUAAAUAAAACUUACCAAUUCUUCAAAAUUCGAAAACUUCACUAACCUGGUUACAUAUAUUACAAUAAUGAUUUCGCAGUUUGUAGGAAAAAAAAUCAUAUUUUUUUUUAAAAAACUCUUUCUUUUUUCAACGAUAUUGCUGAAAUAAUUACAUCAGCAUUUUUUUGACCGAAAAAAAGACAAAUUAAAAAAGAAAUAUUGAGUAUGAGUGAAGGAUUUCAUAUCUCUUUUUGUUGGGUAACCUGGUUGUUCUUAAAAUAUAACUUUAAGAAUAUUCUUUCGGAAAUACUGCUAUGCAUUUCAAACAAACUUUAUGCGUGUCUUUAAAUUUACUUUUCUUACUUAUUGUUGGAUGUCUAGGAGGUAGUUUAAAUUGGAACGAACGCUUCAAAAGACAAGUGAACCAAAAUGAAGUGACUGAACCACAAAACUCAUCUUCCCAUGCUUCUGACCGCACAACUGUAUUCCCAGAUCACACACAGGAAACGAUUCAUACUAACAACAACACCCCGACGGGCAAUGACUAUGUGAUUGUGGAAAUAGUUGAUAUUGAUAUUGAACCUUGUGACUCCGAUGAUUAUUCUGAUUUUAUUUUCAGUUAUUUUAGUUUUUUAAGUGAGGUAUUUUCAUAGUGUCGAUCUAUCUAAUGUAAUGUAAGUUUUUGCUGUUCGAAAUAAAUUUUUUUUUAAUGUUG